CGCGUCUGAUUAGCUAGUUGGUAAGGUAACGGCUUACCAAGGCGACGAUCAGUAGCCGACCUGAGAGGGGGAUCGGCCACAUUGGAACUGAGACACGGUCCAAACUCCUACGGGAGGCAGCAGGGGGGAAUAUUGCACAAUGGGCGAAAGCCUGAUGCAGCAACGCCGCGUGAGUGAUGAAGGCCUUCGGGUCGUAAAACUCUGUCC
rnacentral:rRNA from 1 species